GGACCUCUCAGGUGGGUCCCAGGCAGAAGGUGAGAUAUGGCAGCAGCUGGGAUGAAGGCUUCCCAGGGGAUGUGGAGAAGUACACAUUGAGGGAUUUGAAGAUUGAGG
rnacentral:lncRNA from 1 species